rnacentral:lncRNA from 1 species
GACGUGGUUAUGGGGCGCCCCAUGGCACUUAUGGGGCACUUAAAGACACUUAUGGGGCUCACACAGCACUUAUGGGGCACACACAGCGCUUAUGGGGCACCGAAAGGUACUUAUGGGGCACACAAAGGUACUUAUGGGGCUCACAGAGCACUUAUGGGGCUCACACAGCACUUAUGGGGCACACACAGCACUUAUGGGGCACUUAAAGGAACUUAUGGGGCACUUGAAGGCACUUAUGGGGCACCUGAAGGCACUUAUGGGGCACUUGAAGGCACUUAUGGGGCACUUGAAGGCACUUAUGGGGCUCACACAUCACUUAUGGGGCACCUGAAGGCACUUAUGGGGCAGGCCGUACUUAUGGGUCGCACUCACCCCUCCUCAUCCGACUCCCUCCCAUCCUCUUCAUCACUGAACUUCAGCUUCUCGCUGUAAUCCACCUCCUCGUGGGCUCCUGUGGGGCACAGCCGGCUGCUAUGGGGCAGCUAUGGGGCAGCUAUGGGGCAGCUAUGGGGCAGGGCUAUGGGGCAGCUAUGGGGCAGCUAUGGGGCAGGGCUAUGGGGCAGCUAUGGGGUCGCUAUGAGACAGUUAUGGGGCAGGGCUAUGGGGCUGCUAUGGGGCAGUUAUGGGGCUGCUAUGGGGCAGCUAUGGGGCAGGACUAUGGGGCAGUUAUGGGGCAGCUAUGGGGCAGGGCUAUGGGGCAGCUAUGGGGUCGCUAUGGGGCAGUUAUAGGGCAGCUAUGGGGUGGCUAUGUGUCGCUAUGGGGCAGUUGGUUAUGGGUCGCUAUGGGGCAGCUAUGGGGUGGUUCUGGGGUGGUUCUGGGUCGCUAUGGGUCGCUAUGGGGCAGUAAUGGGGUGGUUAUGGGGCGGUUAUGGGGUGGCUAUGGGUCGCUAUGGGUCGCUAUGGGGCAGCUAUGGGGUGGUUAUGGGGCGGUUAUGGGUCGCUAUUGGGCAGCUAUGGGGUGGUUAUGGGGUGGUUCUGUGUUGCUAUGGGUCGCUAUGGGGCAGUAA